UAAUACGAAGGGCCCGAGCGUUAUUCGGAAUCACUGGGCUUAAAGCGUACGUAGGCUGGUAUAUAGGCGUCUUGUGAAAUCCCUCGGCUCAACCGAGGAACUGCAAGGCGAACCAUAUAUCUUGAGACAGACAGAGGUCGUCGGAACGAUUGGUGGAGUGGUGAAAUGCGUUGAUAUCAAUCGGAACGCCGAGGGAGAAGUCAGGCGACUGGGUCUGUUCUGACGCUGAGGUACGAAAGCGUGGGUAGCGAACGGGAUUAGAUACCCCGGUAGUCCACGCCGUAAACGAUGUGCACUAGGUCGAGGGCGUUCUGACGCGACUCUCGGCCGAAGCGAAAGUGUUAAGUGCACCGCCUGGGGAGUACGGUCGCAAGGCUA
rnacentral:rRNA from 1 species